GGCUGGUCUGAAGUUAGUGAGUUACCUCAGCUGAUUGUCCACAGUGAGUUGUAGGUCGAACUCCUUCUUCCUCUGUUUUCCCCUUCUCAUUAAUACACUUGACUAAUUUUUU
ensembl:Y_RNA Y_RNA Y RNA